rnacentral:lncRNA from 1 species
GCCAAUGCUCCAGAUGCCGACUGAAUGGAAACACGGGAUGGCGUGGCUCCACAAGCCUGAAAAUGAUAAAAUGUACGAAUGAGCAAUUCAGGUAUAUACUCUAUAUGUUUGCUUAUGCUUGUGCGGAUGUCGAUAUCGUGCAAAUUGCCUCGAACAUACAUUUUGUUGGAAACUAUUGAUUGAAAACGAGGCUGGCAAAGCGGCAAUUGUCUGUCUUUGGGUUCAAAACUUCGUUUUCAAUUUGAGCAUGCUGAGGCGGUUCCAGCCGAAUGGUAUGAGGGGGCUUGCAGUCCAAUGUGACCCUGGGGAAGUCCAACAUAACGCCCGCUUGAGAUUCGAGAUGCUUAACCGAAGCUAACUAUCAAACCAUAAUAUAUGAAGUUGCUCUGCCUGUAAUAGUACGCCGCAUUGGAACUUAAUAGGACAUAGCGCAUCGCCUGCAGGUCAUCACUGGCGAGUCAUCAAUCAGUCACACGGGCAUACUGGAGACGCAUUUCAGUCUAUAUGCCUAUAUUUGCAGGGAUAUGGUAGAGUCAUGCAUUAGUGACAUGUCACAUUCAAGUAUAUUCGUAUGUAGGCCAGAAGAUCGUCAUGCCUGGAUACUUCAUCACUACUAUUUAGGAUGUAUGAUUCGAAUCUUGAUUCUACCUGUAAUACAGAUAGAUACUAGAGGACCAACUUGUUGGUU